rnacentral:rRNA from 1 species
GUCGAGCGAUGAAGCUUCCUUCGGGAAGUGGAUUAGCGGCGGACGGGUGAGUAACACGUGGGUAACCUGCCUCAAAGUGGGGGAUAGCCUUCCGAAAGGAAGAUUAAUACCGCAUAACAUAAGAGAAUCGCAUGAUUUUCUUAUCAAAGAUUUAUUGCUUUGAGAUGGACCCGCGGCGCAUUAGCUAGUUGGUAAGGUAACGGCUUACCAAGGCAACGAUGCGUAGCCGACCUGAGAGGGUGAUCGGCCACAUUGGAACUGAGACACGGUCCAGACUCCUACGGGAGGCAGCAGUGGGGAAUAUUGCGCAAUGGGGGAAACCCUGACGCAGCAACGCCGCGUGGGUGAUGAAGGUCUUCGGAUUGUAAAGCCCUGUUUUCUGGGACGAUAAUGACGGUACCAGAGGAGGAAGCCACGGCUAACUACGUGCCAGCAGCCGCGGUAAUACGUAGGUGGCGAGCGUUGUCCGGAUUUACUGGGCGUAAAGGGUGCGUAGGCGGAUGUUUAAGUGGGAUGUGAAAUCCCCGGGCUUAACCUGGGGGCUGCAUUCCAAACUGGAUAUCUAGAGUGCAGGAGAGGAAAGCGGAAUUCCUAGUGUAGCGGUGAAAUGCGUAGAGAUUAGGAAGAACACCAGUGGCGAAGGCGGCUUUCUGGACUGUAACUGACGCUGAGGCACGAAAGCGUGGGUAGCAAACAGGAU